rfam:Ornithorhynchus anatinus chromosome 3, whole genome shotgun sequence.
ACCUUCUCAGGAUCGCACCAGAAGAGUUCCCUUUACUCUACCAGUCUCAACUACGGGAGGGAGAGUCAAGCAGAGGCCUAUCCAUUCCAUUCCUAGCUUGGGCAGUGGCUAGUGAGUGGAAAGCAAUCUGCUACAAGU